AUACGUAGGGGCGAGCGUUGUCCGGAAUGCUUGGGCGUAAAGGGCGCGUAGGCGGCCCGGUAAGUCUGGAGUGAAAGUCCUGUUUUUAAGAUGGGAAUUGCUUUGGAUACUGUCGGGCUUGAGUGCAGGAGAGGUAAGUGGAAUUCCCAGUGUAGCGGUGAAAUGCGUAGAGAUUGGGAGGAACACCAGUGGCGAAGGCGACUUACUGGACUGUAACUGACGCUGAGGCGCGAAAGUGUGGGGAGCAAACAGGAUUAGAUACCCUGGUAGUCCACACUGUAAACGAUGAAUGCUAGGUGUAGGGGGUAUCGACCCCUUCUGUGCCGCAGUCAACACAAUAAGUAAUCCACCUGGGGAGUACGGCCGCAAGGUUGAAACUCAAAUGAAUUGACGGGG
rnacentral:rRNA from 1 species